AUUGAACGCUGGCGGCAGGCCUAACACAUGCAAGUCGAGCGGAUGAGAAGAGCUUGCUCUUCGAUUCAGCGGCGGACGGGUGAGUAAUGCCUAGGAAUCUGCCUGGUAGUGGGGGACAACGUUUCGAAAGGAACGCUAAUACCGCAUACGUCCUACGGGAGAAAGCAGGGGACCUUCGGGCCUUGCGCUAUCAGAUGAGCCUAGGUCGGAUUAGCUAGUUGGUGAGGUAAUGGCUCACCAAGGCUACGAUCCGUAACUGGUCUGAGAGGAUGAUCAGUCACACUGGAACUGAGACACGGUCCAGACUCCUACGGGAGGCAGCAGUGGGGAAUAUUGGACAAUGGGCGAAAGCCUGAUCCAGCCAUGCCGCGUGUGUGAAGAAGGUCUUCGGAUUGUAAAGCACUUUAAGUUGGGAGGAAGGGCAGUAAGCUAAUACCUUGCUGUUUUGACGUUACCGACAGAAUAAGCACCGGCUAACUUCGUGCCAGCCGCCGCAGUAAAAC
rnacentral:rRNA from 1 species